GUGCUUGCUUCGGCAGCGCAUAUAUUGAAGAUGGGGACGAUACAGAUAUUAGCAUGACCCCUGCGCAAGGAUGACACGUACGUUUGUGAAACAUUCCAUAUUUUA
ensembl:snRNA U6 U6 spliceosomal RNA